AUGACUUUCGUCACCCUCGGAUGUCGGCCAACACGUGGCUAUCCUGGUAUUUGAGAAAUAUCGGGAUCGGGCCGUCUGAAAUAGCUAAAGUUGAGAAUGUUGGAUAUGUUGCCCUAGGGAAGAAAUUUUAAACCUACAAAAGCUUGGUUUUCAGGAAAUUGCCAAUCCUGCAUAAACUUUGGGUUUCCUGAAGUUAGUGGCGAUUCGUUAACUGGAAUGAGAAUUCAACUUCACACUUUUCGUUCCUGCCACGAAACUGCGAACUACUCUCUCUGUGGAAAAAUAAAUUAGGGUUCUUCUUCGAUUAUCUCAGCAGCGGAAGAAAUUAAUUUUGAUGGUCGUCCAUUAGACUCUCCAUAAGGCACUCCAGUCAAGACAAAAUGAUAACGAGGAUGCACUCCAGUCGAGACAAAAGGAUAACGAGGAUGAGGCUUUUCCAAAACUAAUUUCAUCAAUACUUUUGACAAAUCUGGGAAUUAUUAAAUUGUAAUUUCAUUUUAUGGUUCCAUUAAUUUUGUUAGAAUUGUGAUUUGCAAGUUACAAAGAGAAUUUCAGUUACUUUGUUUUCUCGAUGAAGAUUUAGGGUAAAGGUAUGGGUUUUAAUCAACCA
rnacentral:sRNA from 1 species